AAAACGAGUGGAUAAAGGCAAACUAGAGAGGUCCUUCGAGCUCCGGAUGCACCAAGCCUCCUCGUAUGUGAUCCUUCACCCUUGUAUGUAAGUGGGAUGCCUUGGUCACAAUGGAAAGAAAAGGAUGGAUGGGAUGGUAGUGAAUGCUCUCGGCAGAAGCAAGAAAGAAAGGAGAAAGAUAAUUUUUUUUUUUUUUUUGUUAAGUGA
rnacentral:lncRNA from 1 species